UGGGCCGUAGUGUAAUUGGUAACACCGCAGUUUUUGGUACUGCUUUUCCAGGUUCGAGUCCUGGCGGCCCAACCA
rnacentral:tRNA from 1 species